rnacentral:lncRNA from 1 species
GGUGAUGUCCUUGGGCCUUUGUGGGUAAUCCUUCAUCAAAUGUUGUGUAUUCUCGCAUUUGUAACAAGAGUGGUUCAGGCGUUGAUAAGACAGGUCACCAUGGUAACGACCACAAUGUUAGCAAUUGGGAGAAGUUUGAAUAGGAUCUCUGGUAGGAGGGGGCAAAAUAGUAGGGACUCGGACUACACGUGGUCUCUUAUUUGAGCGGUCUGGGCCAGAGUAAGGAAAUUU